UUUGUUGCUUUAAGCCACUAAAUAUUAGGAUAAUUUGUUAUGUGGCAACAGAUAACUAAUACAUGUGAUCAACCCUCAAAACAAGAUACGGUAAGGCUACCACAGAGUCCUGGAGAAGGAGAAGUGACUCAACAUACUCUCUGUUCCAACUGCACUGGGCUGCUGGCUGCUUCUCAGACACGCCAUGCUUUUCCAUGACUCCGCGGCUUUCUCCAUGCUGUUCACUCAAUGAAGGGCCUCGCAUGGAACAGCAUCCUGGAACAGAUCCUUCCCUCACAGCCCUCAGAAGGAACCAACCCUGCCAACACCUUGAUCUUGGACUUCUAGCCUCUAGAACUGUGAAAUGGGUCCUCAGUUUCUCCAUUGAUGGACUCUGGAUAGUAAUCCUUGCUGGUGACAGGAUUCUUAUGGAAAUCAAAAAGAUUUUGCAACUUGAAAGUGCCUUGUAACAUAUAUUUCAGACACAAAUGUGAAGAUGUUAUUAACAUAAGGUUUUUCUUUGGAAGAACAUCCAGGAGAAAAACAAGAUGCAUCUUUGCAGUCUUUUCUUGGACGAGCAUAUUUACAGUGGCAUGUGGAAGCUUUGUUGAUAUCUAACAGGAUUGUGUCAAAUGAAAUCUCC
rnacentral:lncRNA from 1 species